rnacentral:lncRNA from 1 species
GCUCUCCACUUAGAGGCCAAUGUGUGCUGGUUAUCAAUUUAUGGCCUCUCAGCUUCAAAUCCAUAGUGCAUUGCUGGGUCCUUUAAAUAUUUUUGCUUUGCCAGCUGCAUGAUGCUAAACUUUGUCAGUAGAGGGCACUGGAGAGACACUGGAGGAGGGAAGGUUUCGUUCCUAGUCAGGCCCAUGCUACUCCACAGGCUCCUGCAGAUCGCGCGGCCUUUCCAGUGCCCGGCUUCUCCAGCACCAGAGUUCUUAAUGAAGAUGUGUGCUUCAAUGUGCCAAUUUCUUCAAGCACUUUUAACAAUGAAGGCACAAUGUUCUUCUCUCAGUUUCUACAGAAUGUCACGCUCCUUCCUGCUACAAGCCUUUGCCCAGGCUGUGUUUUCUGAUUGGAAUAUCCUCCCCACUUCCCACCUUCCGUGCACUUCCCAGCCUCCCUGUGCAGAGGAACACUGGACACACUUUAGCACUAUGCUUGGGGCCCUGUGAAAGCACCACAAAAAGCACAACAAUGUGGAAAACGUGGCACUAAAUAAACCAUGGAAAGGACAUUUGUUUACAGGAUGAGAUCUGAAACAAGAAGGCAGAACAUCGCCUUGUUCAACCUCAGCUGGGAACGCGAGCAUUGGGCAACUCAGAAUUCACCCUGCUUUUCAAAUGUCAGUGAAUGAAGCCAAGAGUUCCUGAGUAUUGAUUUUGGGAGAUACAAACAAGUUUUAGCAAAUAGACAAAUUUAGGGGCUGGCCCUGUGGCAGAGUGGUUAAGUUCACACGCUCUGCUUUGGCGGCCCAGGGUUUCGCUGGUUUGAAUUCCAAAAGGUGCUUCCCAGACCAGUGUUAAAUGGGUGCUGAGCUAUGAGGAUUCUGUGGGAAGUCAGUUUGGGAAAUGCUGAUGUCAAGAAAUCCUCUGUGUCUCUGGUAUUUGAAAAAAGCCAGUGCUUCCGAUUCUUAUAGUUAGGCUUUGAUGGGAACAGACUCACUUGUGCCAAAAUAGAGGCCAGAACCAGCAUCCCUUUUGCAGUUGUAUAUUUUGUGUUUUGUUAUCUUGCUUUUCCAAGCUCUCAUAGCCCAUUUUACUGCAUCUCAUUAGAUGGGGCACAAUUUCAUCUUUUUGACAAACACUGACAAACAUGAUUAAGCAGAAUUAAGCUUGCCUGUUUUUCUAGAUAUUGCACAGAUUUUACAAGAAGCUUUCACCUGAAAAGAUGCCAUGGAAAAGUUUAGUAAAUUCCUUG